rnacentral:rRNA from 1 species
CACUCCUGCGGGAGGCAGCAGUGGGGAAUUUUGGACAAUGGGCGAAAGCCUGAUCCAGCAAUGCCGCGUGAGUGAAGAAGGCCUUCGGGUUGUAAAGCUCUUUUGUCAGGGAAGAAACGGUGAAAGCUAAUAUCUUUUGCUAAUGACGGUACCUGAAGAAUAAGCACCGGCUAACUACGUGCCAGCAGCCGCGGUAAUACGUAGGGUGCAAGCGUUAAUCGGAAUUACUGGGCGUAAAGCGUGCGCAGGCGGUUUUGUAAGUCUGAUGUGAAAUCCCCGGGCUCAACCUGGGAAUUGCAUUGGAGACUGCAAGGCUAGAAUCUGGCAGAGGGGGGUAGAAUUCCACGUGUAGCAGUGAAAUGCGUAGAUAUGUGGAGGAACACCGAUGGCGAAGGCAGCCCCCUGGGUCAAGAUUGACGCUCAUGCACGAAAGCGUGGGGAGCAAACAGGAUUAGAUACCCCAGUAGUCC